rnacentral:rRNA from 1 species
UACAGAGGUUGCAAGCGUUGUUCGGAAUUAUUGGGCGUAAAGCGCGUGUAGGCGGGAGGCUAAGUCGCGUGUGAAAUCCCUCGGCUCAACCGAGGAAGUGCGCGCGAAACUGGUUUUCUUGAGUGCCGGAGAGGGUGGCGGAAUUCCCGGUGUAGAGGUGAAAUUCGUAGAUAUCGGGAGGAACACCAGUGGCGAAGGCGGCCACCUGGACGGACACUGACGCUGAGACGCGAAAGCGUGGGGAGCAAAC